AACGAACGCUGGCGGCAUGCCUAACACAUGCAAGUCGAACGAGACCUUCGGGUCUAGUGGCGCACGGGUGCGUAACGCGUGGGAACCUGCCCUUAGGUUCGGAAUAACUCCCCGAAAGGGGUGCUAAUACCGGAUAAUGUCUUCGGACCAAAGAUUUAUCGCCUUUGGGUGGGCCCGCGUUGGAUUAGCUAGUUGGUAGUGUAAAAGCCUACCAAGGCGACGAUCCAUAGCUGGUCUGAGAGGAUGAUCAGCCACACUGGGACUGAGACACGGCCCAGACUCCUACGGGAGGCAGCAGUGGGGAAUAUUGGACAAUGGGCGAAAGCCUGAUCCAGCAAUGCCGCGUGAGUGAUGAAGGCCUUAGGGUUGUAAAGCUCUUUUACACGGGAUGAUAAUGACAGUACCGGGAGAAUAAGCACCGGCUAACUCCGUG
rnacentral:rRNA from 1 species